rnacentral:sRNA from 1 species
UAAGAUGGAAUAAAUUACAUAGAAAAAUACAAAUAUGUAGGUAGAAUAAAAAUUUAUUUAUAAAUUGAUCAUUGAUCGAUACUAAAUACAUGUACCGGUAUCAACAUACAAAUAACCGAGAUAUAAAAUGGAUAAUAACAACUCAUUGGCACCUUUUUUUAAGAGGGUUGGAUGGCCGUGGCCAUUUUUAGGCUAUUAUUGAUUUCCGAAAGAAGAAGAUAUAGGAAAAUCUGGAAAAUUUCAAAGCUAGAUUAUAUGGAAUUUUUCUUUACUCAAUAAGAGUUUAUAGCUAAAAUAUUCAUAUCUAAAAAUUUAAGGUAGAUCUCAUGGGUACUUUGUUGACCAUCCAGCCUCCUUAAGAUGGCUUUAAGGUCGUAGCCAUUUUUAGGCUAUAUUCAUCUCCUUAUAAGAAGAGUUCCAUAUAAAGAUUCAGGAAAAUUAAUGCUAAAAUUUGAAAGCUUAUAAUUAUGUAUUUGAAAUUUUUUUGUACAAAAUUAAUGUAUAUAGCUUGAGACAUCAUUUUUAAAAAUUUAGGUAAAUAUAAUGGUUAUUUUGUUGACCAUCCAGCCUCCUUAAAAUAAUUAGUAAUAUGAUAGAGCUGAAAAUAUUCGUGCAUUUCAUGUAAAACAAUUCAAAUAUCGCUGUACAUGUAAUCACAAGUGAUGUACAUACAGUUUACCCAAGAAUCCAUACCUAAGAUCAAAAAAUAAUUAUUGUACUCUUCAUUAGUUUCCAUGGUUAUAGAAAUCAAGCCAAUUUGCAAGUAUAGUAACGAAUAAUCACCCUUCAUCUUGUCCAAUGAUUACUGGUAUAUGAAACACAAAUAUAUGUAUACAUGCAUGUACAUAGGUCUAUAUUUUGCAAGAAGCUUAUAAAUAUGUUGAGCAGAAUACAAUCUUGAAUUCAUUGACACAAAAUUAAAAUUGUCAUUUGAUUAC